rnacentral:rRNA from 1 species
CACGUAGGGUGCAAGCGUUGUCCGGAAUUAUUGGGCGUAAAGGGCUCGUAGGCGGUCCGUCACGUCGGGAGUGAAAACUCGGGGCUCAACCCCGAGCCUGCUUUCGAUACGGGCGGACUAGAGGUAGGUAGGGGAGAACGGAAUUCCUGGUGUAGCGGUGGAAUGCGCAGAUAUCAGGAGGAACACCGGUGGCGAAGGCGGUUCUCUGGGCCUUACCUGACGCUGAGGAGCGAAAGCUAGGGGAGCGAAUGGG